AUGUCCUCAGUACAUUCGUACCUUGGAUCUCAAACGCCUUGGCUCCCGAACAAAUUGGCUCCUGAACGCUGCAAACCUGGAAAUGAGUGUUCCGGAUUUCAAACGGUUUUUGGAAGCCAAACGUCCAGCCAAUCGGAAGCCGCGCCUUGGUUUCAUAAUGUUUUGGAAGUCAAACGGGACUGUACAUCCAAAAUGCAAUGGAUUCAAAAUGUUACCCACUCUUACUGUCUCCCCUGCUUUUUCUUUAUUACUUUUUACUGUUGCAUAGGCGCUGUCCGGCCCACAAAGAAACCAAGUCUAGAUGCCUUUAAUAAUAAUAAUAAUAAUAAUAAUAAUAAUAAUAAUAAUAAUAAUAAUGAUGAUGAUGAUGAUGAUGCUUUGGUUCUUCAAGUUUUAGGGUUUCACAGAUUUCUGCAUUGUGGAAAUAUGCACGUGCGACCACCUUCGCCCUGGGUCAGUGGUGCAAGUUUUUCCUUCUGCAUUCAGAUGAACAUAGAAAGUCCAAGGCUGGUUAGAUACAAGUCUUUUGGCCCUGUGUGUUUGGAUAGAAGUGCAUUUUGUUGUGUUCCUCCUACGACCUGGGUUUCAAAACACUAUUCAUAGGCCAGCUGUCAAUAGGCCAGGGUUGAGCUUUUUUUUUUUUUUUUUGAAGACUCCAAAACUGUUGAACUUUUAUUAUUAUUAUUAUUAUUAUUAUUAUUAUUAUUAUUAUUAUUACAAAAACGCCCCCCUCCAAAAAAGUUGUGUGUCAGCUGCCAUCAACUACUUGGCCAUAGUGGAGAUUUUCCCUCUUGCAAAUAUGGCUUUAGUUUUGACCUUGAUGAUGUGACAAAAGCUGUGGAUUCCUGCCCCCUCUAAACUUUGAAGUCCUAGCUGCUUCACCUGGUUCCAGCCCAUGCAACUUCUAAGCUGCACUUCCUAGCGCCUACAAGUUGUGUGUAUAGGGGUUGGCCUUCUGGACCUUGGGCAGUCCUCAUAUUCUUUUGCGAGCCCAGGAAGAGCCAGCAUAACUCAAAUCAGUUCUCUUGGCUGGCUGUAAUUCUGAAUCGAUUGCUCAAUCAGCUCGCGGCAUUGGAAGCUGUACAAAACUGGAAGCUCUUCACAAGUCUUACGGAGGGGUGAAAUGGAUUAGCCCAGAAAUUGGCCUUGUCAAUUUCCCUUCUUGGCAACUGCCCCAUGAGCUCGUUUGGAGAGCCACCUAUCCUUUCAUGAACGAACGCUUUUGAAGGGACCGCAAAAUUACUCUAUGCUCGUAAAUAGACUAGUGUUAUGAGCUGCUGGGACAGUUCAAAAGGGCUGGGCGGAACAGGGGAUGCCUCUGGUAGUUUUUCCAUUGCACAAGGUAAAAUGGCACUAAAAAGCCCUGCUAAACCCCCCGCUUGAUCAGAGAAGGUUCGUGGGAAACGCAAAAGUGAAUGUGUAUGCUUCGGUAAUAACACUGGAAAGCCAGCAUUUGUGUACGACUUGAAACCUUGCGUAUUCCUCCAGCAACGUUGAUUCAGUAAGAUCCCACCUGACUGCACUGAAAAGGGGUUGUUGUUUUUUUGUUAGCUAUUUUGCUGAACUCCCAAGUUUGCGCUGUGUGUGAGAGUGUGUGUGUGUGUUUAAUUUAUUGAAAUAGCUGCUGUAAUUUAUUUUCGAAACUAUACAAAAUGUUUUAAAAGAAACAAAAACCAACCAGACUUGCGGGCCAAUCUUAAACGUGUGGGACGGGGAGGGGGAGAUGCUUUUAUAUGAAGAUAAAUGCACUUUGGGUGUGUUUAAGACAUCUUUUGGGAGGGGUUAGACUGUUCUGAGGACUGGGAUUUGAAUGGCCUUGUCUGUAUAUAUUGUAUCAAUAGGCACGUUUUUGGUUUUUCAUGUGGAUACAUUUGUAACUGCUGCAGGUGCUGUCUGGAAAACAGAUGUACUGAAUAAUUUUGCCCCAAAGUUGGGGUGGGGGAAUCCCCCCCUUCCUUUAUUGGGUAAAUUUUGUCAACCAUGGGAGAGAACUUUGCCUCUCCUGUUUGUAUCUCAUUUCUAUUGUGGGGUUGGUUUGGUUGUUUUUUUUUGUUUUGGUUUUUUUGGGGGGGUCCCCCCUUCUGCCUAUGGGUGGUUGUUUGACAGGGGGUGGGGAGCAGGGUUUGAAAUAAAAUACUUAAAUGGUCCCUUAUGUGCUCUUGUCUUAUUUUGCAGGGGUUGGAAAAUUCAUUUGGAAUGUUCAAACUUGCCCUCUUAAUUUUUCAAGUAUUUGGAAGUUCUUCACUUUCGUCCAUAAUGCUUACAACAGUCUAGUAAGGUAGGCCACUAGAAAUGGGAGCAUUUUCAGUUCAGGGGCCACAUUCCUUCAUGAAGAAACUUCUGGGGGCCACAGAACCAGGGGGGGCAGAACCGGAAAGAAGCAAAAAUGGGUGCAGAGCAAGUAAAGUGAUAGUCGCCCUUUUGGACAAUAUCCCCCCCCCCAAUUUAUUUAAAAAACAUUUUUAAGGCACUUAUCAAAAUAUUCUCUUAAGCCGUGUGCAACAUAGAAACAUUUAAAAAAAAAUCAAUACUAAAAAUCAGCACCAUAAAAAACAACAUAAAAUCACAGGGCGCAGAGUCCAGCAUUAAUAUUAAUUUUUAUUUAAACCAUUUCUAAGCUAUUUUCUAGCCAUGCAAAGGGCAGAAAUUUCUCUUAACAGUGGUGAUCUGUUUUGGAAGCUGUCCAAGCUUGUUUUACGCAUAAUCUUGUGUUAAUCUUGUUGGGAUUUUCUUGAAUUAUGACUAGCAUAGGAAAAAGGGGAACGGAAACAUGAGGGGCUCGGUGACGUUAGCUGAGGCUUGGCCAUCCCUGAACAUUUUGCUACCUUGUUUGUUGAAAAUGUGUUACUUUUAGAUUUUUAGAAAAUGUGUUAUUUUUAGAACCCACCAUGUUUUUGUGAUUUCAAGUUGUUUAAAACAGUUUUUAAUAUAAUAAUAAUUUAUUAUUUGCAGCCCGCUCAUCUGACUGGGUUGACUGGGCAGCUUCCAGCAUAUAUAAAAACAUAGUAAAACAUUAAACCUUAAAAAGCUUCCCUAUACAGGGCUGCCUUCAGAUGUUUCCUAAAUGUUAGAUAAUUAACUCAUCUCCUUAACAUCUGAUGGGAGGGCGUUCCAUAGGGUGGGUGCCCCUACCGAGAAGGCCCUCUGCCUGGUAUUGGGUUUUUGUGGUGUAACCCACCCUGGGACCUUAAGUUGUAGGGCAGGUAAUUAUUAUUGUUAUUAUUAUUAAUAUUUAUUAAAGAUGAAUGAAUUAUAAGGCAAAAGAAGAAAAGAGGGGAGAAAACUUGUUGAAUUAUUGUUAUUAAUAUUAAUUAUUAUUAAUAAUAAUAAUUAUUCAACAACUAUAGUCUAUAAUGAGAUGAUAAUAUAAAGAAAUAAAAAUAAUUUAAAUAGAAAGUAAUAAAGUGAAAAUGAAUGAAUGAAAUAUGCCCUUAGCCCAGGUCCUGUCCUCUUCUGGCAGAAACUCAGGCCACUUCUGGUUUGGCUCUGCCCUUUGCUGGAAUCAUAUUCCCUACCUCUGCUCCAAAAUUCCUGAUAUAAAUAAGGGAUGUAUUCAAGCUAAUGCAACUUGGGGGCAAGCCUAGAUUUGAAAUGUAUUAGCGGCAGAAGGCUCUACCCUUCUAGGCAAAGCAAUGUAUGAAAUACUUGGAGCUAGACUGCUUCUAGGCAUAUUCAGAGUACGUUUCCAGUGUAGUAACUGCAACAGCCCUCACCUAGCUCAAAGCAAACACUGGGAGUCUGGUCUCGCAGGCCCAAGCAGCUGCAGUUUCUCCCCAAGGAAACCCUAAAAAUAAAAAUACUGGAACCUGGUGACUAUUUUUAGAAAGUCCAGAUCAGUGGGUAGGAGUCAUUUUCAAGAAACGUUUGUGUGUCAAAGCUCUGGGUCGGCUGCAUGGACUGGGGAUCAGAUAGGACAUUUCCAGCCCUACCUGGUGAAUGAACCUGGAAAAAUAAAAUAAAAAGGUAUUUUGAACUGCUGUUUCCACAAUGCUGAUUGCCCAACACUUCAGGCAGUAAGACAAAUCAGAGUUAAAAAUCUGAAAAUUCCAAUACAGAUGUAGACAGGGUGGAAUCUACACAUAUAAAAUGUGAAAAUGCCUUUUUUAACAAAAAAAGGUUUGAAAAAAAUACAUUGAAUUUGGCAUAGCUCACUCUCGCCAUCUAGUGUCAAAUUAGUAUAUUGCACUUUACAACACACUUGAAACCUUUUAUUUACAGCUGUAUAGCUGAGUCCAAGGUAAGUUCUCUACUUAAAAGGCCUGUUGGAAGACAGACACCAAAAGGGUGAGUGCCGCAACACAAAAAGCCUGAUUCCUAUAUCCUAAUGAAUUGACCUCCUGAUAAGUUGGUACCUGCAGGAGGCCAUCUCUUGCAAGAGCACUGUGUGGCUGAUUGGCUCUAUAACAGAUGAGGCAAUCUUUCAAGUAUCCUGCAUCGUGCUUUAUACAUGGGUCAUUCCAUAUCAAGGGUGACUCUGGGCUAAACCACUGAGCCCCUUGGGCUUGACGAUCAGAAAGUUGGCAGUUCGAAUCUGCACAAUGGGGUGAGCUCCCCUUGCUCUGUCCCAGCUACUGCCAACCUAGCAGUUCACAAGCACGCCAGUGCAAGUAGAUAAAUAGGUACCACUGUGGCGGGAAGGUAAACUACUUUUCCAUGACUCUGGUUUCCAUCACGGUGUUCCAUUGCGCCAGAAGCAGCUUAGUCAUGCUGACCAUAUGACCCGGAAAGCUCCCCAUAGUUGCCUUUGACUGGACUUAACCGUCCAGGGGUCCUCUACCUUUACCUUUUUACCAUUCCAUAUCAAAGUGAUCCAACUUUUUUACCUCAUGGCAUCCGAUUUUCUUAAUAUUUUGUACACUUGUUGAAUGAACUAAACCAAGUUGAAAUCUGAAAUCUUAUUUUUUUAUCUCAUCCUGUUUUUGAGUUAUGAGGGUUUGAAAUUUCAAAAAA
ensembl:lncRNA